rnacentral:rRNA from 1 species
GAUGAACGCUGGCGGCGUGCCUAAUACAUGCAAGUAGAACGCUGAAGGAGGAGCUUGCUCUUCUGGAUGAGUUGCGAACGGGUGAGUAACGCGUAGGUAACCUGCCUGGUAGCGGGGGAUAACUAUUGGAAACGAUAGCUAAUACCGCAUGACAACAGUUAUUGCAUGAUAACUGUUUAAAAGGGGCAACUGCUCCACUACCAGAUGGACCUGCGUUGUAUUAGCUAGUUGGUGAGGUAACGGCUCACCAAGGCGACGAUACAUAGCCGACCUGAGAGGGUGAUCGGCCACACUGGGACUGAGACACGGCCCACACUCCUACGAGAGGCAGCAGUAGGGGAUCUUCGGCAAUGGACGGAAGUCUGACCGAGAAACGCCGCGUGAGUGAAGAAGGUUUUCGGAUCGUAAAGCUCUGUUGUAAGAGAAGAACGAGUGUGAGAGUGGAAAGUUCACACUGUGACGGUAUCUUACCAGAAAGGGACGGCUAACUACGUG